rnacentral:tRNA from 1 species
GCCUGGGUGGCUCAGUGGUUGAGCAUCUGCCUUUGGCGCAGGGCGUAGUCCCCAGGUC